CAAGUCGAGUGCGCAGUCUUCUGUAGCAAUACAGGAGAUCGGCGCACGGCGCACGGGUGCGUAACACGUGGGUAACCUGCCCUCCAAAGGGGGAUAACCCCGCGAAAGCGGGGCUAAUACCGCAUGACAUUCCGGUGACCUCGGUCGCUGGAAUCAAAGCCCGCAAGGGCGUUGGGGGAGGGGCCCGCGGCCGAUUAGCUUGUUGGCGAGGUAACGGCUCACCAAGGCUUUGAUCGGUAGCCGGUCUGAGAGGAUGGCCGGCCACACUGGAACUGAGACACGGUCCAGACUCCUACGGGAGGCAGCAGUGGGGAAUCUUGCGCAAUGGGCGAAAGCCUGACGCAGCGACGCCGCGUGGGGGAUGAAGCUUUUCGGAGUGUAAACCCCUUUCGACCCGGACGAAACGCCCGCAAGGGCUUGACGGUACGGGUAUAAGAAGCCCCGGCUAACUACGUGCCAGCAGCCGCGGUAAGACGUAGGGGGCCAGCGUUGCUCGGAAUUACUGGGCGUAAAGGGUUCGUAGGCGGUGCGGUAAGUCGGAAGUGAAAUCUCUGGGCUUAACUCAGAGGCUGCUUUCGAAACUGCCGUGCUGGAGUGCGGGAGAGGCGAGUGGAAUUGCAGGUGUAGCGGUGAAAUGCGUAGAUAUCUGCAGGAACACCCGUGGCGAAGGCGGCUCGCUGGACCGCAACUGACGCUGAGGAACGAAAGCUAGGGGAGCAAACAGGAUUAGAUACCCUGGUAGUCCUAGCCCUAAACCAUCAGGACUUGGGGUGGCCCGCGUUGGCGGGUCGUCCCGGAGCUAACGCGUUAAGUCCUGCGCCUGGGGAGUACGGUCGCAAGGCUGAAACUCAAAGGA
rnacentral:rRNA from 1 species